rnacentral:pre_miRNA from 1 species
UCUUUUGGAUGAGCAAAAAAAGUAGUUUACUGAGAUGGAAUCUACUCUGGUGAGGAUGCCGUGAA